rnacentral:lncRNA from 1 species
ACGCCCUGCCCCGCCUUAACUGAUGACAUUCCACCAUUGUGAUUUGUUCCUGCCCCACCUUAGCUGAGUGAUUAACCCUGUGAAUUUCCUUCUCCUGGCUCAGAAGCUCCCCGACUGAGCACCUUGUGACCCCCGCCCCUGCCCACCAGAGAACAACCCCCUUUGACUGUAAUUUUCCAUUACCUUCCCAAAUCCUAUAAAACGGCCCCACCCCUAUCUCCCUUCGCUGACUCUCUUUUCGGACUCAGCCCGCCUGCACCCAGGUGAAAUAGACAGCCAUGUUGCUCACACAAAGCCUGUUUGCUGGUCUCUUCACACUGACUCGAGUGAAAUUUGGUGCCGUGACUAGGAUCGGGGGACCUCCCUUGGGAGAUCAAUCCCCCGUCCUCCUACACUUUGCUCUGUGAGAAAGAUCCACCUACAACCUCAGGUCCUCAGACCAACCAGCCCAAGAAACAUCUCACCAAUUUCAAAUCCGUGAUAGAUCACAACAAGAGAUCAUGAAGAGGGCAUGGCCGCCAUGUCAUUCUGGAGAGAGACAGAGUAAAACAAAGAAGACAGAGUCUUGUUCUGCAACCCAGGCUGGAGUGGAGGGCAGUGGUGUGAUCUCGGCUCACUUCAACCUCCGCCUCUUAGGUUCAAGUGAUUCUCCUGCCUCAGCCUCCCGAGUAGCUGGGACUACAGCAGCCUCUCUACAAGUCUCCUAACUUAACCUGAUGGGAAAACACUUCCUACCACUAACAGCAUCUACUUGAUUACUGAUACUUUGAUCAUGGAGUUUGGGCAUGCCACUUGAUAGAAAUUUGAAGAGCAAUUAUAUUUUUCAAAAAGAGUUUUGAAUAAUGUUAAGAUAGAUUGCAACAUGACUAUCAAUUCUUCCCUUCCCAUCAAAGGAGAGAGUCCGUUUAUCCAGCCUUUGAAUCUUGAUUAUUCAUGUGACUUGCUUCACCCAAUGUAACAUUAAUAAGCACAAUACAAGCAGAGGCUUGCCAAGAACUUGGUUUGUUUCUAAUGCUUAGAAGAAGAAUGGUGUAUGCCAUAUUUCUGCAUUUAGAACUCACGUGGAGACAUGUGUGGCCCAAUUGCUUCUCUUUCAUCUCAGGCAAUAACCAGACACGGGACUGAGGCCAUCCAUGACCAGCCAGCCCUAGCCAACACACAACACACAAGCUGAUCACAGAUGCAUGAGUAAGCCUGAGACCAGCCAAGACCAGCCUAGAAUAGAACUGCUCAGCAGCAAUAAAAACUAAAUAAAUUGUUACCUUAAGCUACUUUUAGAGCUAUUUGGAAGUGUAUUUUUGUGCAGCUAACAUUUACUAGCAGAUAAAAUGGUGAUUGUUUAUCUCUGUUUUAUUGAUGUUUUAAGGAAAUUGUUUCUAUUAAAAGGAAAUAUCUGGUCUUUGUCACGUUAAAUCAGGUUUAGCCUGAAGUUGUCUCCUUAAAUUUGCGGCACAACUCCCACCCUGCAAUACUUCAAAUUGUUUCACCUUUUUUGACAGAACCAAGUGAGAAAUUCCUAAAAAGAUAAGCAGCAUGACAAAGAAGACAAAGGGAAGAUGCCAGACAACCUGGAAAUUGGAUAAUGGAGACCCAGGGAGGGUAUAAAAGAGAAACUACUUUGUAAUAAUUUAUAUUGAUUAUUCCUUUCAAUAGAUUUUGUGGAGUAGUUCAAUAUUCCCAUAAUCCAUUCUUUGUCACCUGAAGGAAAGGUGAAUGAGAUAGCUCAGAAGUUCCAUAACAAGGCAGUGGCAGGUUUGAGACCAUUGCUUUGUGUUUCUUAAUUUACCUGCCUUUUGUGUGUAUGAUGAGGAUUCCUGCCCUCUUAGCCACUAGUAAAAAAAAGAGAUAAAAAGUAUCAAGGUUUUUUUUUACUAUCAAAUUUUCUUUUUUAACUUGGCCAUCUCUGUCACCAAAUACAUUCUUACACAGAUAUAGUCUUAAAAUUUGUACAUAGUACAAAGCUAUCCACAAUAUUUGUGUUGAAUACAACACAUGUAUAUACAAGCAAGAAACUAACAUGAAUAACAAGUGAUGAGCUAAAGAUUCAUUCUCAAUUAGCCUUUUGUUUUUAUAAAGGGUGUGUGGCUGUUUUUCAUGUCAGUGAUCGUUGGUGUGAAACCAAUAUAGAGUCAGGAGAACAUACUCAUUGUAAUCAUACAUAAUUUAGGACUAGAUGAUGCUUUUUCAACUUCAUUGUGUAUAAAAUAGAUUUAAUUAUGUUGAAGAUGAUGUACAGAAAUGAGUUACUUAGUUACUGAAUGAACUAGCCAAAAUUUCAGCAUUCAUAUCUCAUCAACUGUUGCUAUUUAUCAUUCAAACCUUUAGUAACUCUCAGGAAUCUGAACUUUACUGACUUAUGUGAGAAAUGCACAAGCCACAGAAGUAUUCACAAAUUUAGAAAUCUACUAAGCUCUCAGAAUAUGUAUUUGCAAGAUAAGGUGAACUUUUAUCCCCUGGGACAAACCUGUGUUACACUGAUUGACUCAGCAUUAUAAUUAGUAGUGCCCUUUCACUAUUGAUAUGCUCUUUAUUAGAUGAUGGAUUAAAUGGCUUUCUGGGUCAUUGAUUACAAGAUUCUAUCUUAUAACCAUAUUUUAAUAUUAAAUAUUUAUCAAGAUGUUCAUGUACUAUAUCAGCAAAAAAUUACUAAAUGUAUAUAAGGUGGUUUUGACCUUGCCACUCAAUUAUUUACUAAAAGACUAAGAUGCUCUCUCAAGUAAAUACCUCGCUUUGGUAAAGUUCCAUUACUAAAACUCUCAAGUAUCUGAACUUUUCAUUAUGCUUCCCUAUACUUCUUUUUCAAUCCAGUUUGUCAGUGCCUGUUCAUAGCCUAAUAGAGCAGUUCUCACAGUAUUAGGGGUCAUCAACACUCUGUCAGUGCGUACACGACUAUUUUUAAAAUAAACUAAAAUGCUGUUUGUCUUUUUCACUCUUAUUCUCUAAUGAGUGUCUGGUACAGUUUUCCAGAGGUUACAUGAUGUGUGAUGAUAUCAUCACUCUGAUAGCUAAUGGAAAGUAUGACUGUAUAUUCUGUAAUGUUCCAGGAGUUUCUGAGGUUUAGGUUUAGGUUAUAAAAGGGGGCAUAUGUUCAGAGAUUAACUCAAUUUUUUCUCAGUACUUCUAUUGUGUUUUUACUAAGUACCUUUUCUUAUAUUUGCUAUAAUCUGUAUAAACUUAUUGUCAUACAAUAAAUCAAUAUUUUAAAAUCCCAAUGAUUUCUUUAUGACUACACAAAAACAAGUAGUAAUC